rnacentral:rRNA from 1 species
UACGUAGGGGUGCAAGCGUUGUCCGGAAUUGUUGGGCGUAAAGAGCUCGUAGGCGGUUUGUCGCGUCUGCUGUGAAAAUCCAAGGCUCAACCUUGGACCUGCAGUGGGUACGGGCAGACUAGAGUGCGGGUAGGGGAGAUGGGAAUUCCUGGUGUAGCGGUGGAAUGCGCAGAUAUCAGGAGGAACACCAAUGGCGAAAGGCAC